UACGUAGGGUCCGAGCGUUGUCCGGAAUUAUUGGGCGUAAAGAGCUCGUAGGUGGUUUGUCGCGUUGUUCGUGAAAACUCACAGCUCAACUGUGGGCGUGCGGGCGAUACGGGCAGACUUGAGUACUGCAGGGGAGACUGGAAUUCCUGGUGUAGCGGUGGAAUGCGCAGAUAUCAGGAGGAACACCGGUGGCGAAGGCGGGUCUCUGGGCAACAACUGACGCUGAGGCUCGAAAGCGUGGGGAUCAAACAGG
rnacentral:rRNA from 1 species